CCUUUACCAUGACAGUCGAACGGCAGCGCGGGCUUCGGCCUGGCGGCGAGUGGCGAACGGGUGAGUAAUACAUCGGAACGUGCCCUGUUGUGGGGGAUAACUAGUCGAAAGAUUAGCUAAUACCGCAUACGACCUGAGGGUGAAAGCGGGGGACCGUAAGGCUCUCGCAAUAUGAGCGGCCGAUGUCUGAUUAUCUAUUUGGUGGGGUAAAGGCCUACCAAGGCGACAAUAUCUAUCUGGGCUGAGAGGAGAAUCACCCACACUGGGACUGAGACACGGCCCACACUCCUACAGGAGGCGCCACUGGGGAAUUUUGGACAAUGGGGCAACCCUGAUCCCCCAAUGCCCCGUGUGUGAAAAAAGCCUUCUGGUUGUAAAGCACUUGUCCGGAAAGAAAUCUCGCUGGCUAAUACCUGGGGUGUAUGACAGUACCGGAAAAAUAUACACCGGCUAACUACAUGUCAGCACCCGCGCUAAUACAUAUGGUGCGAGCGUUAAUCUCAAUUACUGUGCGUAUAGCGUGCGCACGCGGUUUUGUAAGACACGCGUGAGAUAUCCGCGCUUAACCUGUGAAUGUCGCUUGUGACUGCGCAGCUAUAGUGCGUCUCAGAGGGGUAUAAUUCUACGUGUAUCACUGAAAUGCGUAUAGAUGUGUAGGAGUACCGAUGGCGAAAGCAGCCCCCCUGUGACGAGACUGACGACUCAUGCGCGAAAGCGUGUGGGAGCAAAACACGAGUAUAUACCCUGGUAGUCUACGCCCUAAACGAUGUCAACUAGUUGUUGGGGGAUUCAUUUUCCUCAGUAACGUAGCUAACACGUGAGAUGGACCGCCUCGGGGGAGUACAGGUCUCACAAUUAUAAACUCUAAGGAAAUUGUACGGGGACCCGCACCAGCGCUGGAUGAAUGAUGGAUUAUUUCUAAUGUACAGCGAAAACCUUUCCUAUCCCUUGACAUGUCCCCUAACAAAGCCAAAUGCUUCAAGGUGUCAAGGAAAUGUGAACGGGGCUGCAUAGGCGUCGUCACACUCUUGUUUCCGGAAUUGGUAUAUCCGACAAGGGCCAACCCUGUGUCUCAUAUGUGUACACAAGGACUCU
rnacentral:rRNA from 1 species